rnacentral:rRNA from 1 species
AGAGUUUGAUCAUGGCUCAGGACGAACGCUGGCGGCGUGCCUAAUGCAUGCAAGUCGAGCGACGCACACUUCGGUGUGACGGAGCGGCGAACGGGUGAGUAACACGUGAGCAACCUGCCCUGAAGACCGGAAUAGCCCGGGGAAACCCGGUGUAAUGCCGGAUAUCCUCCCGAUACCGCAUGGUAUGGGAGAAAACGCUUUAGUGCUUCAGGAUGGGCUCACGGCCUAUCAGCUAGUUGGUGAGGUAACGGCUCACCAAGGCGACGACGGGUAGCUGGUCUGAGAGGACGAUCAGCCACACUGGGACUGAGACACGGCCCAGACUCCUACGGGAGGCAGCAGCAGGGAAUAUUGCGCAAUGGGCGAAAGCCUGACGCAGCGACGCCGCGUGGGGGAUGAAGGCCUUCGGGUUGUAAACCCCUUUCAGGAGGGAAGAAAUUGACGGUACCUCCAAAAGAAGCCCCGGCCAACUACGUGCCAGCAGCCGCGGUAAGACGUAGGGGGCAAGCGUUGUCCGGAAUCAUUGGGCGUAAAGGGCUCGUAGGCGGCUCGGUAAGUCGAACGUGAAAUCCCGGAGCUCAACUCCGGAACUGCGUUCGAUACUGCCGUGGCUUGAGUCAGG